UACGUAGGGUGCAAGCGUUAAUCGGAAUUACUGGGCGUAAAGCGUGCGCAGGCGGUGAUGUAAGACAGGUGUGAAAUCCCCGGGCUUAACCUGGGAACUGCAUUUGUGACUGCAUCGCUGGAGUGCGGCAGAGGGGGAUGGAAUUCCGCGUGUAGCAGUGAAAUGCGUAGAUAUGCGGAGGAACACCGAUGGCGAAGGCAAUCCCCUGGGCCUGCACUGACGCUCAUGCACGAAAGCGUGGGGAGCAACAG
rnacentral:rRNA from 1 species